CGCACAGAUCCGAGAGAAAGCUCAACAACCUGCUCUCCCUUUUUACAAAUAUCAGCGUUCAGGGACCAAUUUGACACUCUCGCCCCUCAGCUCACUUCAUUAACAGUGGAGAUAAUCUUUCAUUCUAACAACUCAGCAAAGCUCACCUCAAAUCUAUACCAAAACUUACUUUCAGUAGGCCCCAAACCCUUUAACUCCGCACAAAUAUGGUGGACUUCCCAAAUACCAGCACUCACCCAAGAUGACUGGGAAGAGACAACAGACUCCAUGUACAACUGUCUCAUAUCUACUAAAGACAGAUUAAUACAGUAUAAAACCUUUCAUCACCUCUAUAUCACACCAUUAAGGCUGCGCCAGAUGGGCCGUACCCCAACAGAUAGGUGCCCGAGAUGUGCAGCAAGCCCUGCUAACUUCUUUCAUAUGAUCUGGUCAUGCCCCCACAUCGCUAAGUUCUGGUCGACAGUCACUAAAUACCUAUCAAACAACCUUCCCCAAUGUGACUGCACCUGAAACCUGCUUGCUAGGAGACAACAUAAUUGCCCAAAACAGCUCCCGGAUACGCUACAGAAUAUUAUUGUUCUAUGCAUUGGAUGGGCCCUACCCUGCCCACCAUUACAGCCUGGAAGAAUUUAGUGAAUGUGGUUGCCCCUCUGUAUAAACUCACGUACGAAAUUAGGGGCGCACCUGACAAAUUUGACAAAGUCUGGGGCCCUUGGUGUGAUCUAGAGGGAAACUGAACGAUCCUGCUCCCAGUUACAUAAUAAGCCCCCCAACGUCCUCCCAACCUGUUCUCCCACACCCUGAGUACACAAGUUCAGUAGGGGAUGGAUCCAAGAUGUGGGAGUUACUACCAGUUACACACUCAUUCAAAUUAAUGACAUAUGGUCACAGUAUAUGAGUCGGCCAAUCGGUGAGUAGCUGAUCCUGUAGCACCAGGAUGGAAUAAAGGGCAUAUAAACCCUACAUUUUCUUCCCAUGUAUAUAAGUUGGGCAAACCCCCCCCCAAACCCCACCAACUGUACUGCCUACAGCCCCCCACUCACAGCACCAUCACAUCCUCCCAAAACCAAUGAGCAGCUUUCAGGCAGAUAUUUCCUCCUAUAGAGACAUAAACGCGGGGUGCUAUAGGGUAGCUAGGAAAGCAGGCGGGGCUAAUACUGACAGCUCCGCCCCCAUUCCUGGAGUGACCCCCACUUCUCUCUCUUCCUGUAGAUCCACGAGACCAUUGAAUCAAUUAAUCAGCUGAAGAUACAAAGAGAUUUCAUGCUCAGUUUCUCCCGGGACCCAAAGGGUUACAUACAGGACUGGCUCCUCUCCCAGAGCAGGGACCUGAAGAUCAUGACUGAUGUUGUGGGGAACCCGAGCAGGAGAGGCGAGCCGACUUCUAUCAGGAACCCUGGUCCCAGGAGGCUGUCAGCCGCUACUUCUAUUGUAAGAUCCAGCAGCGCAGACAGGAGUUGGAGCAGUCCCUGGGGGUGAGGAACACGUAGGCUCCUCCUCUCUCAGCCUCGGGGCCCCUGGCGCCUCCCUUCCCGCCGUUUGGCUCUAACAUGGUCCCAUCACUGCUACAGACAUCAUGUG